AAGGGUGAUUUAAGCAGGGAAGCUGAUGUGCAUGUUUUAAAGUAGUUAUCCCAAGACGAAUGUAAAAAAUGAAAAUCAGACAUCGUAUAGUACAUGACAAUCUCUUUCUAACAAAGCUAGAACCGGCCCUGUACCUCACAUGGGUCCAGAGAUC